AGGUCCUGCCUGCCCAGUGAAAACUUUUUAACGGCCGCGGUAUUCUAACCGUGCAAAGGUAGCGCAAUCACUUGCCCCUUAAUUAGGGGCUGGUAUGAACGGCUCUAUGAGGGCGCGACUGUCUCCUAAAGCCAAUCAAUGAACUUGACAACUCAGUACAAACGCUGAGAUACCCCCAUAAGACGAGAAGACCCUGUGGAACUUCAAUUAUAUUUGCUAGCAGCCCAGAAUUUAAACCUUUUCCCCCCCUAGCAAAAAUUUUAGUUGGGGCAACUACGGAGCAAAACUAAACCUCCACGAACUGCGACUAGACCUCGCACCACAGGCCAACACGCCAACAAAUUAACGCUUGACCCAGUAAAACUGAUUUACGAACCAAGCUACCCCAGGGAUAACAGCGCUAUCCCCUUCAAGAGUCCAUAUCGCCAAGGGGGUUUACGACCUCGAUGUUGGAUCAGGACACCCCGG
rnacentral:rRNA from 1 species